rnacentral:rRNA from 1 species
UAUGAUCAUACCACCCUGAACACAUCCAAUAUCAUCUGAUCUUGGAAGCUAAGCAGGAUCAGACCUAGUAUUUGGAUGAGAGAACUGCACCUACACUGUGGUGGAGUGUCAGAA